GAGAAGGAGGGAUCGUCGGUACUCCUCUGCUCACGAGCGUGUGGCGAACCGACAGAGACCGGAUCUGACAGCCGCAGCGCCCCCGCGCUUCCUACCCAGACAGGGUGCAGCGCUCUGAGGCUGGACUCGGCCGAUAAAGCUCGGCAACCUCGGCGCGGGAUUCGUGCUCGACCACCUGGCUCUCCUCGUCGCUCGGUCGUGUGAGGACAGAUUUACUGAGCCGUUAACGUGGAGCGUCUCUCCCCAAACGCACAAACACUACACACAGGCACGCUUUCUGGACCGGAGACGAUGCCACCUGCUCCUUCGUCCUCCGCUGAGCUCUCCGCUCGACUCUGAACGGAUUUCUGAAUGGUUUACAAAUCCGCUGGAUUAGGAUAUAGAGCGACUUCGGCCAAGAACAGCAGAACAGUGGAAGUAACAGCGAGCAGAAGUUGAGACGCAGACUGGAUCUUCCCCGGAUGGUUCCUGUUGACUUCGACUGAAGAGCCUCUCCGUCACUUCUCAUCACUUUACCCCACACGGGGAUUUACAUUAGCCAAUCUGGUGAAAGGAUGCUGCAGAGACCUGCCGAGGGACUGAGCCCCACCUGAUAACCCCCACCCCGCCCCUCCCCUCGUCCUCUUCCCGACCCCUGACCCUCGGAGCCCUCAGUGCCGCUGUCCCAUCAUGAACCUUCUUUGCCGCGGGCGCCUAAAGCUGCUGGCGGCGUCACUCACAGCCAUCGUCCUGCUCACCUGGCUCUACCUUCUGGCUGGAAACCUGGAAAAUGGUCGUUCCCUUCUCCUGACUCCUUGCCUGGCGGACACUCCAGCUGCCCAGGUCCUAGAGCGGGCCGUCCUUGAGUCGCGGGUUCGGGAGGUGGAGGAGGAGAACCGACAGAUCCGCCUGCAGCUCAGCCAAUCGCAGGGUAU